CAGAGUGAUGGAAACCUUGAACUGAUCCAGAUUGACCAGAAAAGGAUGUCGCAAAUGGUCGUGCAGUUGAGUCUGGAA
rnacentral:snoRNA from 1 species